GGUCGCGGGCGUCGCCCCUCCCCUGGGCAGCGCCGCACACCUGGGCGGCCAGCGGCGAGUCCCGGGCAGCCGCCCGACCCGCGGCGCUCUGCCCAUCUUGCAGGGAAGUGGUCAUUGUCGCCGGUCGGGGGGCUCGGGCGUCAUGGGAGACCCGGCGCGGGGGGAGAAGGAGGUCGGGCGGCUGGAGGCGAGGUGCCGGCUCGGCAGCCGAAGCGCGCUGCAGGAAGAAAUUUGAGGCCGUAAAACUAUCAAACACUUUUAUGAGCUACAUUCCAUACAAUAUCGUCACUUAAGUGGAAAAGAAAACCGCAAUACUCCAGGGAACAUGCUUUAUUCUCCAGUCCUGGAAGCAUGAUGUUUAAUGAGUACCUACCAGCACACCUGUGCAUGCCUGCCUUUACUGGAUCAAAAAUUUGCAUUCUCUCAGACUUCUGAGCUCCAGAUGGCUCACAGAGAUUCUGCCACCAACUCUUCGUAGGAAAGCUUAUUGGUAACCAGCUACUCAACUGGACUCUCUCCUAAUGGCAUCAAUCACACUAUGAAAGAUUUCUUUUGGACUUUUUGUUUAUCCAGAUGAAGAUGACCGGCAGGAAGUUGGGAUGUGAGACUCGCUUGAAAAAUCUCGGCUGGAAUCACCUAUUUGGGAUUCUUGUGCAGGUAGGCAAUAAUUGAAAAUCAUAAGGUAGAUGAGAUUAUCAGAAGCAAAGGUAUGAGAAGUGAAAAGUAAAGACUUGAACAAACCUCAGGCAGGAACAUUUAGGGGACAGAAGGAGGAAGAAGAAGCCUCAAAGUAGACAGAGAAGGUGGGGUCAAAGAGGUAGGUAGUUAUUACUUCCCUCAGGGGGUUAUUUCUGCUAGUUUCAAGACUGAGAACUACUGUCUUAGUUUAAUGAUAGAAAAUGAUGGAAAUAGCUAGGAGGAAGUAAGUUGGUAAAUAUGGAUUAGGCCAAGGCAAAUUUGAUGCACUGAAUAGAAUUUUUUGCAGCCAUUUACUUUUAAAACUUCUUUUUACAAUGCUACUUCAAAAUUGGUUUAUUUUCCCAGGUAUCCCCCCACACACUUUUAAAUAAAAGUAGUAGGCGCUACUAGUAGAUAAAGAAUUCCUGAUAAAUUUUUAAAACAUUCAGGAAUAUUCUGCUGAGUU